GUGCCUAACACAUGCAAGUCGCACGGGAUUUGGGGGCAACUCCAAGUUCAGUGGCAGACGGGUGCGUAACACGUGAAGAACUUGUCCGGUGGUGGGGGAUAGCCGGCCCAACGGCCGGGUAAUACCGCAUACGCUCGCGUGACGGCAUCGUUGCGCGAGGAAAGCAGCCGCAAGGUUGCGCCGACGGAGAGCUUCGCGGCCUAUCAGCUUGUUGGCGGGGUAAUGGCCCACCAAGGCUACGACGGGUAGCUGGUCUGAGAGGAUGAUCAGCCACAUUGGGACUGAGACACGGCCCAGA
rnacentral:rRNA from 1 species